rnacentral:lncRNA from 1 species
CAACACCGAAAAACCUUAGGAAAAGCCAUAAACAGAGGGCAAAGCUCGGCUGACCUGCCGUACCUAAAACUGGAUAACCACUUCAAUGAGCCCCAAUCCUUUUUUCAUUUUCUUCAGUUUCUCGACCCUAGGCCAUCUAACAUGUUUUCGGUGUAGGGUAACCGAAGGAAAGUUGUGACCGCAAGGGAGAAGCGGCGGAGACACCACACCAAAAAGCCAGAACCGCUAGUAAGUUUUGAUUUUCUUUAUUUUUCCACCAACAGACACCGUCUAACCCCAAAGUGAACAGGUUUUCACUCAAAACUGGCCGAAACUGGCCUGAUGGAGAGGAGGAGCCAUCGUAGAAGGCAAAACCAAUGGCAGAGCAUGGCAGCUUCGUCGCGCAGGAAUCCUAAAUCGACCCUUGGUGAGACUUUUGGCCCUUUUUUGCCCUUUUUUUGCAUAUCU